UACGGAGGGGGCUAGCGUUGUCCGGAAUUACUGGGCGUAAAGGGCGCGUAGGCGGCUCAUGAAGGCUGUGGUGAAAGUCCGGGGCUCAACCUCGGAUCGGCCGUGGCGACUCGUGGGCUGGAGCACUGUAGAGGCAGGUGGAAUUCCGGGUGUAGCGGUGGAAUGCGUAGAGAUCCGGAAGAACACCAGUGGCGAAGGCGGCCUGCUGGGCAGUGGCUGACGCUGAGGCGCGACAGCGUGGGGAGCAAACAGG
rnacentral:rRNA from 1 species